UACGUAGGGAGCAAGCGUUGUCCGGAAUCAUUGGGCGUAAAGCGCGCGUAGGUGGUCCCGUAAGUCCGCUGUGAAAGUCAAAGGCUCAACCUUUGAAAGCCGGUGGAUACUGUGGGACUAGAGUUCGGUAGGGGAGUCUGGAAUUCCUGGUGUAGCGGUGAAAUGCGCAGAUAUCAGGAGGAACACCGGUGGCGAAGGCGGGUCUCUGGGCCGAUACUGACGCUGAGGAGCGAAAGCGUGGGGAGCGAACAGG
rnacentral:rRNA from 1 species